AAUACGUUCCCGGGCCUUGUACACACCGCCCGUCAAGCCAUGAAGUCAGGAGACCUGAAGGCCGUCACCGUCAAAGGAGCGGCUUAGGGUAAACUGGUAACUGGGGCU
rnacentral:rRNA from 1 species